UACAGAGGGUGCAAGCGUUAAUCGGAAUUACUGGGCGUAAAGGGUGCGUAGGUGGUUUGAUAAGUUAACUGUGAAAGCCCUGGGCUCAACCUGGGAAGGCCAGUUAAGACUGUUGAGCUAGAGUAUGGGAGAGGGUAGUGGAAUUUCCGGUGUAGCGGUGAAAUGCGUAGAGAUCGGAAGGAACACCAGUGGCGAAGGCGGCUAUCUGGCCUAAUACUGACACUGAAGCACGAAAGCGUGGGGAGCAAACAGG
rnacentral:rRNA from 1 species